UCGCUCGGGAACGCGAGUUUUCGAGAGGAAAGUCCGGACACCGCAGGGCAGGAUUCCUCGUGAAAGCGAGGGCGGCGCGCCGCAAGGUUCGUCGACGGAAAGUGUCACAGAAAACAGACCGCCGGGCUUCGGCUCGGCAAGGGUGAAACGGCGAGGUAAGAGCUCACCGCUCGAACGGCGACGAACGAGGCACGACAAACCCAAUCCGGUGCAAGACAAAAUAGGUGAGCGGGCUGCCCGUCCGACGCUCACGGGUCUGUCGCAUCGCCGAAAGGCGAAGCCGCCGCGAGGCGGUUAGAGGAAUGAAUGCGGCCGCGUUCCCGCGCGAGCGGUCCGCGGCACAGAAUCCGGCUUACAGCCC
rnacentral:RNase_P_RNA from 1 species